UAGGGAAGAGUUUCUUCACGUUUUCAUGGUGAGCAUUUGUACCAAAGUCCAGCUAAACUUACAGCUUCUCACAGAUGACGUUGUGAAAAACCUUGGGGAUUAGGGUUUUGGCGUUUUUUCCCCUCUGCUUGGACUCAGAACCACAUUCUGCUUUUCACCCCACCACCACCGGCACAAAAAGCUCCCAACUGACAGGAAAAGCCCCUCCUGAGGGGCAGGGGGGAGGCAGACGGGCAGGCAGAGGGGGGUUUGGCAUGGAAAUGAAGGCCCUUCUCGGGAGCUUCCUUCUCCUCACCUCACGGGGCGCUGCUCCCCGCCAGCACUCAAGGCCUGCCCGCCAUGAAGAGGGGAAUCCGCGGCGGGGAGGGGGGGGGGGGGGGGGGGGGGGGGGGGGGGGGGGGGGAACUGCGGCAAAUCUCAGCCAAUCAGCGGCCGGCUCGGCCCCUGCUGCCCGGGGUCGGGGUACCCCGUGGCUAACGGUUUCCCGCUCUCUCCCGCGCGCCCCCUCAGGCGGCGCUGAGGAGGGGUGGGGGUGUGUGUGUGUGUGUAAGAUGGCGGACCCUCCCCUCCCCGGCACUCACCGGCCUCAGGAGGCGUCCCUGCCUCUGAGGAAGGAAGGGGAGGGGAAGCAGCGCAACUGGAAGGGAGUGAUAAGGGCCGAGAGGGGCGGGAAAGAGAAAGAAGGGGCGACAAAAGACAAAAGCUCCGAGAGGAGGAGGAAGGAGGAAGCCACGCGGCCGCCCGCCAGCAGGGCUUCCCCUCACUGCGACAAAAUGGAGGACGGCAGAGCCCAUGGGAUUCCGCUGGAGACUGCGGUCUGGGGCGCUUAUUUAGCUGGUUUCCCUCAGUGGGAGCGGGGAACCAGCCCAUCUUCCAGCCGUUGGGGAGCAUCUCGCCUCCGGGAGCCGGAUGGAUGGUUUCUGCAGCGGCAGAAGGCGUGUUUGAAACCCAGAGAGAGACGGCCGGGCUGUGGCAGGGAGAGAGGUGGUUUAUGGCAGGUCACGACAAGCUGCUCACCUCCCAACAGAACAAGCUCAGGAACCCUCCAGCCCACACCUCAAGUUUUUCUUGAUUUUUGAAGACAUGCCUACACAGCACUGAAUUUCAUCUCUCCUUUGCCACGCACGUACCAGAAUGGAAGAGCCUGGUUU
rnacentral:lncRNA from 1 species